rnacentral:tRNA from 1 species
GGGCCGGUAACUCAGUUGGUAGAGUAGCGGACUUUUAAUCCGUAGGUCGUGAGUUCGAGUCUCACCCGGCCCACCA